AUUUAUAUACUUACACAGGAUGACACCAUGGCCUAUGCUGUGAAAAGAUUGAACAGAGGAAGUGCAGAUAGAGAUCGAAGAUUUGAGAAGGAAAUUGAAGCAAUGGGGGAUAUAAAGCACCGGAACAUCGUGACUCUUAAUGGAUAUUACACUGCUCCACAUUAUAACCUUCUUAUAUACGAACUGGUAGCUUAUGGAGGCUUGGAUGGAGUGCUUCAUGUGCAAAUGAAAUGCUGAUUUGAAAGUAACUAGCAUUUGAAACAUCAGAAUUCCCAAGGAACACGAAUAAAAGUUGAGUUCUUAAAGUUUUCAAUUUCAUGGUUAUUAAUCAACCUGUUCACCAAUUCUUUGUGUCUACUGUACAUGCAAUGCAGAUCACUAUCCAACAAGCAUUUGGAUUGGCUGUCUAGAUACAAAAUAGCACUAGGUGCUGCAAAGAAGAAUAUCAUAUCUUCAUUCCAAUCUGAAAUUGAAGGAGACGACUGAUUCGAGAGAGAGGAAGAACUUGGGGACAGGAAGAACACGAAUCUGGGUAUUGAUUGUUCUUGGAACCACUAAAACAUAUAUGUAAGCUUGUGGUUGGUGACUUCUUUUGGUUAGUGGUGGUUGGUGACUUAUUUUGGUAACCUUGAUUUUACAAGAUAUAUAGACAAUAUUAUUAUUACUUGCUAGAUUGAGGUUACUUUUGGUUAGAAUUGAUGGAUUUGAUCAUAUCUGGAUAUGGAUAUGUACUUUUGGAAAUGUUUUGGAUUGGCAAUGUAAGAACAGAUGGCAUUGAUAUAUGACAAUGUUUUAUUUUGGAUUUGUUCA